UGGGGAAUUUUGGACAAUGGGCGAAAACCUGAUCCAGCCAUGCCGCGUGCAGGAUGAAGGCCUUCGGGUUGUAGACUGCUUUUGUACGGAACGAAAAGACUCUGGUUAAUACCUGGGGUCCAUGACGGUACCGUAAGAAUAAGCACCGGCUAACUACGUGCCAGCAGCCGCGGUAAUACGUAGGGUGCAAGCGUUAAUCGGAAUUACUGGGCGUAAAGCGUGCGCAGGCGGUUAUAUAAGACAGAUGUGAAAUCCCCGGGCUCAACCUGGGAACUGCAUUUGUGACUGUAUAGCUAGAGUACGGCAGAGGGGGAUGGAAUUCCGCGUGUAGCAGUGAAAUGCGUAGAUAUGCGGAGGAACACCGAUGGCGAAGGCAAUCCCCUGGGCCUGUACUGACGCUCAUGCACGAAAGCGUGGGGAGCAAACAGGAUUAGAUACCCUGGUAGUCCACGCCCUAAACGAUGUCAACUGGGUUGUUGGGUCUUCACUGACUCAGUAACGAAGCUAACGCGUGAAGUUGACCGCCUGGGGAGUACGGCCGCAAGGUUGAAACUCAAAUGAAUUGAC
rnacentral:rRNA from 1 species